GUUAUAAACUGCAUAUAGGAACUCAUAGACAUGAGACAUUCUGGUGUCAUAGAAGGGGUGUACUUCUAACAGCUCUCCUGCAGCUAUCAGCACAUGCCGGUGGACUUGUUAUAGCACGCUGAACGGCACGUUCUUGCUGGCUCACUGGGGCCUGAUCCAAAGCUUACUGCAGGCAAUGAGGAAGAUUCGUGGACUUCUUCAGUGGCCUUUGGACUGCCCUGCGGACACAGAAGCACAAUGGCUGGGAUCUGCAGAGCGGAAUAUUCAGCUCAGGAGCUAGGAGUUUCUGAUAAAUCACCGCAGGGAUUUACCCCAGGGUCUCUUCUACAGUGUUUCAAGUAAAGAGGAUGCUGGGAUGGAGUAUUUAGCUAACAGCGUAAUCAUGCAGUGAUGAACUGCGGAGUUCACAGCCAAAGAACUGAUCUGCAAGCAAUGCUGGAGGCCUCCCGGCAGACAGCAUGUCACGUCCACUGCCACGUGCUGUAUCCUUGAAAGCAGACUGUCACGAGGGGACUUUGUAUGAAAUGCCAUAUGCUGCCUGACGAAGCUUUCCUUUAAGGUUGUACCUUAUGCAUUCGCGUAAGCCUGUGAAAAGGAGCAAAAACAAAUGCUUGGAUCUGAUUUCUGUCUUCCUCUGGAUCUUUGGAUCAGUUCUAACUCCCACCCAGCCUCAUUCAUUGAUUCUGAUGGUGGUAUCCGGAGCACCUGCUGUGGGCAAAACUGUUCUUACAUCAUCUUACAAACACAGUGACCUCAAACAUGAAAUCAUGAGGUUAAUACCAUACCCAAGGCUUCCAAUAAGGCCCUUUCCAGGGGUCUGGGCUGAGUUUUUGAAAACGCCAUGGUAAUUUCUAGCUCUUGAUCAACACAAGAAUUACCAAAGGUAGAAAGCGUUCUGCCGUACAAGAACACAAGAGAAUGGUCCAGCAGAGCAGCAGUCUGAAUGGGGGAGGUCAGAACCACAGUUUAAAUUACUCUCACCUUAGUUUUGAUUUUUGCCCUGUAUAAAAUGAUAGAGAAUAUAUUUGUUCUGCAUUAGCUACUUGGAAUAACGUGCUUUUGGAGGCACAGCUUUUGCCAUACCUGAUGUAUUUCACCUGGUAGCGUUUGCUGCAUCAACACCUUUUUUUUUGGUACAAAGUAUGAAAAAUUGAGAGUCGAAUCAGAAUGGGGAAAGCCUGAAGAUAAUCCAAGCAUGGACUAACAACCAAAUUCCCAUUCCUCCGCUUUCAAUCCAAAUGUAUAACACCGUGGCAGUGGUAGGAUGGGUAGUGAAAACUGAAUACUCAGAAAUGGAAGUUAUCCAGGAAGAAAGCAGAAUUUCAGGAACUUAAUACACUUUAAUUUGGCACUGAGUAUUUCUGCCUCACUGAACAAGAAGAAUAUCUCAAAAUCAUCACAUUUGGGAUGAUAUAGAAAUAGGGAUUACACACACCCAUCAGUCCGAACCUCAACAGCACAUAAUGUUUUAAAACAAAUUUUAACUGAAAGUGUAAUGAAAGACAAUGGAAAACAUGGCAGGAGUUUCCCAAAGGUGGAUUACAGCCGCCCCUUGUAACGGGGCUGGUGGGGAGAAAAGGGGGUGCUGAAUGACCACAAUGACCAUUGAGUUUCAACCCCCCUGCUAUGUGCAGGGUUGCCAACCACCAGACCAGGCUGCCCAGAGCCACAUCCAGCCUGGCCUUGAAUGCCUCCAGGGACUGAGAUGCGGCAUCCACGACCUCCUUGGGCAACCUGUUCCAGCAAUACUCAUCUCUGUUUCUGUUAGUGCCCUUUGAAAAAAAAAAACACUGAAGCAUGAUAAUGAUGUUUGGUAAUGAUUAAGCCACAUCAUCAAAAGAAGACUGGAAAAAGGGGACAGAGUGAUAAGAAUAGAAGAAAACACAGCGAUACAAAGUGCAAGGUCACACACUUACAUGCAUACUGAAGUGGGGAUUCCUACUCCCCCAAGGGAGGACAAAGACAGAGAGGAGUCUCAUCUUAUUAGCUUAUGAUUACAGAUGACCAAUUUGAUGUGACCUUGAUAACUCGAUCUCAGGAUAUACCAGACGUGGCAUUUCCAGCAAGAUAGGAUAGUAUAUAUUCCCCCAUAUGAGACACAUGGAGUAAAGGAUGCUAUUCUGGUCACCUACCUUCAAGGAAAAAGAGCUAGAAAAGGAAAACCAGGAUGAUAAUACAAAUUGUGAGCUUGCCUUUUAUGAUGAAAGACUUUCAGUUUGGCUUGUAUGACUUAGCAAUAUAAAUGUCAAGAUGAGAUGAGAGCGGGCCCUAUAAAUACAUUGGGAAAACAAAUAUCAGAGAGGAGUUAUUUUUAGCCGGAAAAUAUUUUGGCAAAAGAACAGAUAGGUAUAAACUACCAAUAAACAAUUGUAGUCUAUAAAUUAGAAGGUCUGCAACCAUCAGAGAGAGGCUUUUAAGAGGAGGAAGAAGAGACUGGCAGGUAUCUAAGUGACUUUGAUGUGGUUACCUGCAGUAGAAUUGGUUCCCCUAACCAGAAAGACCCUUCUCAUCCUGUAUUUCUAAGGUCUAGUGCAGUGGAAUUCCUAAAAGUUAAUUAUACAAGUAUCAACAGCAGUUGGCACUUAAUUAAUGAUAUUUAUUAGUAGGUGGAGUGACUGGUUGUUGUUCGGGUACGCUGUGACUGGAUAAAGCCACAGGGACAGUUGUAUCUCUUCUUCAGAAGACUCCAAGAGAGCAGCACGUCUGACCAGGCUUGGUUUUCAGAGAAAGGUUUGCCUGAUCCCUGUUCAUUUGCAUUGCAUCACUAUAAUUAAUCCAGUCUAACCUGUUCCAGUUCGUGGCACUCCUGCGAUGGCGAGAUCAGAAUCGGCUCCAACAUCUCUGAAGGGCUACGCCAUUUGUUCACACCGCAGUUCAACAGCUUUAAACAUCUCGUGGCAAAGCUGCGGUACAACUGCUCUAAAGCUUCACGAGCACGCUGAGGCCCACCUCCUUCCUUCCUGCAAAGGUCGGGCAGCUGGAGGCAGUGACACCAGGUGAAGCUGAGCAUGCUCAUCACUUGGGAAACCCAGGCCCCUGGUGAUCUUCUCUGACGUUAAUUGACUGUCAGACCCUGCAAGAGGGGAGGCAACACCUUUCCUGAUCUGUGGUCUGGAGUAGUGUUUUCCAGACUCUGGAGUGAAUUUCACGUUGUUGCAAAGGAAACGAUGAUGCAGUCCUCCAGCAGCUGCUGUGCUCCAGCAUCCUUGCAAAGGUACACUAUGUACUUUGUGGGUGUAUGUGUGUAUGCAAGCUGCAUAUUCAAAACCCCUAUUUUUCAUAAGACAGGCGGGCCUCCAGGUCUCCCCUCCAGACCUACCUUCCUAUCCCCAACAGAAACGCUGCUAAGGGUUGCCCCCAGCAAAACUGAAGCUAUCAUCCUGAAAGAGAGCGCUUGAAAAAGCAAGCUUUUAUGUGAGACUGCUGGGGGUGUGAUCUCAUUUUCCUACGUGCCAGAUCUAUGAGUCCUGUACCUCAAGUGUGGAAAGGUUCCUCAUUAGUGCAAGUGAAACGGCAAGAGCAAUGUUCUGAAUGAAUAUAUGGUGAUGAGUCUGGAAGAUCGGGCAACUGUUGUCUUUGAAUAGGCAAAUCUAAUUGAUGAACCCAUGAGUCUGCUGAUGGAAUUAACCUGGUUUAAUUAAUUACUCCCUCUUGGUGAAGCUGCAAAAACUGACUGUAGUGUGCUUUAGUCUUUUAGUUUUUAAAAUCAAUCACGUUAAGGAAAAGCGAACAAGUUUGGUUCGGAGAAUGGAAGGGCUGUUACGUGGUCAGUGUAUAUGGCUCUGCAGGUGCCCGGUGAACUGUUGAGCUCCAGAAAGUAAAUCCUGCAUGCUGGCCUGUCUGUGCUGGGGGUGUACUUAGCAGCGAUGGCUCCGUGCCUUCAUGCCCAAGCUCUUAGUUCAGCAGAAACAAACCACCAUGCCUAACAUAGAUGGGAUGAAGAUUUGCUUCAGGAAGGGUAUGGGAGCUGUUGGGUCACAGCCUGAACCACUGAUUGAGCAGCUGGGGAAAGGACCCAGUCAGGCCUGGGAGCACAGGUGAAGGCAAUUCAGCUGCAUGAGCUCUCUUAGACCUCAUUUAAGAGCUGACUGCCACGGGGGAAAAAUCUCUGGUUGGAGAAUCCUUCCCUGUGGAGGCUUUUCUGUAAGCCUAGAUCCGUGGAGAUGGGUGAGUACCUUUACUUUUCCUUUGAAAUAUCAUCCUAUCUACUCUAGUCCUUUUGCUGUUACUCUCUGUGUUGCCCUUCCACCACGUUAAUCUUUCACGCUGUAACAGGAGGUCAGUGGAGCAUUCAGUGGCACGUUUGGGGAUGUCCCAGAAGAUCCCAACCUCCUGAAAUUACUAAGUAUUCUUUAUUCACACCAGGGGUUGAACAGUGGAAAAAGAACUGGGAUGAUGCCAUAGUGCUCUCCAAGAGGAGAUGUGAGUGGGGCAAGCACUGCAUGUUGCUCUUGCAGCCAAGCGGUGAGCCAACGGUGGAAGGUCUGCUCUUGUUGCUAAUAAAGCUGUAUCGCUUCUGCCUCAAAGUCUGCUCCGCUUUUCCUGCGCAGCUCUCCCCUUGCCCUGCAACCAUCCCCAGG
ensembl:lncRNA